rnacentral:rRNA from 1 species
CAAUAGCGUAUAUUUAAGUUGCUGCAGUUAAAAAGCUCGUAGUUGGAUUUCGGGUGGGAAUGGCCGGUCCGCCGUUUCGGUGUGCACUUGCUACGCCCACCUUGCUGCCGGGGACGUGCUCUUGAGUUCACACUCGGGACACGGAGUCGGCGAGGUUACUUUGAGUAAAUUAGAGUGUUCAAAGCAGGCCUACGCUCUGAAUACAUUAGCAUGGAAUAACACGAUAGGACUCUGGCCUAUCUUGUUGGUCUGUAGGACCGGAGUAAUGAUUAAGAGGGACAGUCGGGGGCACUCGUAUUUCAUUGUCAGAGGUGAAAUUCUUGGAUCUAUGAAAGACGAACUACUGCGAAAGCAUUUGCCAAGGAUGUUUUCAUUAA